GCAGAGUUCAUGCGCUUGGUUUCCUCUCAUCUCCACCAGCAUUGUUAUGAUGGACUGGACAAAUAUGUUCCAAAACUGCUGGAGCUGUACAGCAUACCUGCGCCAUCUGCUUUAUUCCCUCAAUGAACAAUUUAUCUUCUGUUGAGACUUCAAACCAGAAGAGAAGAGCAGCUGUUUUACUUGGACUUCCGCAUUACCUGAGUGAGGACUCCAGCAGUUUCAUCUCUGUGAGACUACCAGCUCAGAAGUGGAAGCAACAAAAGUGGACAUUGGCCUGCUCAUUGUUGCAGAGGAUGGUGGAAGUGGGAAACAAUUGCUGGCUUUGAACAUUGUUGAUGUCACUGUGGUGCUGGAGGAAAGAGUCAUUGUGCAAGAGCUAAAGGAUGUUCCCAAAGCCUUCGCAAUGCUGAUGGGACUCCUCUACAGCCUCAACAUUGUAUACCCUAAAGGACUAAAAUAUACCUUUGAAGUAAUUCAAAAAGUGUUCAUGGGCAUCGGCAGUGCGACUUGUUCAGCCAAAGUCAAUGGACUCCGGAACAAGAUGCUUCAAGCAUAAGCAAGUUGAUAGCUAUCACUUGAUCUGAUUCAUACACAUUACAAUAACAUAACACUCAAACAUCAUAAACACCACUAUUAAAUAAAAACACAUCAUAAACAUAAACACAAGAUAAACAAAUGCAUCAUAAACACCACCAUCAAAAGUUAUGAAUGUUGAUGUCGCAGGAUUUAAUUUGCUCAUUAAAUUGUAUUUUAAAAAGGCCUUUAAAAGUUGUUUAAAUUGUGUUUCACAUGUUAGCCUCUUGCAUGUAUAUAUUUCAUGCUUUUAGUCCAUUUUUGCUAUGGUAUUUGAAUUAAA